rnacentral:lncRNA from 1 species
UGCGGCAAGGUCGAUAGUGAGACUAAGCAUGAAGGUAGCUGUGUUGUCAGGCUCACAAAGCGUGAAGGCUGCAGGCACAGCGGACCACCCUCGUGACAUACAGGGCUCGUGACCGAGCCUGGCCGACGGAAGGACGCCUCACAGAGCCUCAUUCACACGUCACGACGAGGGGAGGGACGAUUUGGCUCUGUCGUCAUCGGCACGCGCCAGUUGGCCGCCCGUUGAUGGGGUGGAGGGAGAGCAAAGCCUCGCUCACCGCUUCCUUGCGUCUCUUGUCAAUGCCAGCGCCCUCCCUGGCACCGUGGUGGUGAUGGUGGCGGGGGAUGACAAAGGAUCGAGGUAUAGCGGCAGUCGCAGCAACAACAGCAACAGUAGAGCGCUGCCAGGCUGUCCCAUUGUGAGUUGUGCCGUCAGCUGGUGGUGGUGGUGAGUGAAGCAGUGCUGCGCUUGCGGUGUGUGUAGUAGCACUGGUGGCCCUGUGUUUUGCCGGGCUGGCGGUGGUGUAGGUGCUGGUGGUGGCCGUGCUAGUCUGUCAGUGUGUGGUGCCUGGACUUACAUCACGUGGGAUGAUGAGGUCCUGCCGCUGCUGGAGGAGGUGUAGCGCAGCGCGUCCGGUCGUCGUUGUCAGCAGCAGUUGAAGCUGCAGCGUCGUGACGCGGUGCACGGGCGACAGAAGGCGAGGGGGAGAUGACGGAGAGGUGUGAGCCAUGAUGGAGGUUGUCGGGCAGCAUCUGGUGGUGUCGCUGAUGGUGGUGUUGGCGCUGGUUCAGCAUGGAAGUGAAGCAUUCAACUGCAAGUUCAGCAACGAGGGCUGCGAGCGGGAUGCGGAGUGUUGCUCCUUCAAGUGCGUGCAGUCACAUCCCGGCACUAACGCCCGCUGCACGCGCUGCUCGCUGCACGAGCGCUGCCUCUACACUCACCACUGCGAGGAGCGCCUGGUGUGCGGCACCAACCACACGUGCUGCGCCAAGUACUGGGGCACGUGCACGCGACGCGAGGACUGCUGCAACCCUCACUCCUUCUGUCGCGAGAUGGACGGCUUCUUCUACAAGCGCUGCAUCGAGGGACCGGAAAAGUCCGCCGCAGAGGCGUUCGGUCUCGGGUCACGAACUCUGCUCGUGGCGGGGGUCACGCUGGCGCUGGGACUCUGUGACGUGGUGUCGUGACGUUGCAGCGGGAGGCGGCGUAGGAUGAUGACGUCAGGUGCAGUAGCCCUACCUUACCCCUUCCCACACUAUUCCUCUACCCGGCCGCCCAUGGUGCGGUUCGUUUCGGGUGUCUAAGAAUUGUCAUGAUAGUUCGAUUCCCCUUGUUGGCAUUCUUCUGUGAAGGAAUCCUGUUGUCAUCACCUUCCCUCUCGUGACGCUCCAAGGGCGUUAACUCCAGGGACAUCCUUGCGACACACCCAAGGAGGUUUUCAGGAAGAAGCCUCUGGACUUCUAGAUGAUUCUGGACUUGAUGAAAAAUUUGAUGAUGCUGACAGAACGUCUAUCUCCUCACCCCAGUCCACCCUAGUGAUAAGAAAUAAUAUAACGUUGUCAUUUUGUUUUUAAAAAUGAUUUUCACGAAAGGGUUACGGUUCGCAUCUGGAAAAUAGUGUACAAGAAAGAAAGAAAACACCAAAGAGCAAAAUCGGGGGUAGGAGGAACUAGCCUACUGCGAGUUUCAUUCUUUGCAUGACUCCUCCCUAACUCCCCCUACAAGCUUUACUGGUGUUGCAAAAGGCCGAAGGAAGGAAUCUCAGAAUGUGUUUGGGGGACUAAACAGCUUGUUGCAGUAGGUUUUCCUUCCAUCACAAGACGUAGCAGACGCCGUUUCAGGACAACUCAACGAAUAAUGCUGCUUUUGAAUCCGUAUCCACAGUGGAUUGUUAGGGGGAUGAGGAAUUGAGUCGUGAAAGAGUCAAGUAAAUAACCGAAAUAAUCACGACGUAGGAACACACAGCACAAUCAAAGGAUAAGACUUCCAUGGGGGAUGGUCAGACAUGCUGUAGUCCCAGACUUGGACAGGAAAGAGGUUCUCUAUCAUUCAAUCAUCCUUUUCUGGCUGACCUCAUGCACUUCGGUCCUUUGUCUGACUUCCAGUGCUCAACCUGGGAAAUUGUUGCAAAUGUGAUCAUUCUCACAUCGCCACUUCCAGAAGAAAUGUCAUGAAAAUUUAAAAUCGCACUCUCCAUGUGUGAGACAAUACAUUUGCGAGGCCAAGAAAAUACAAAGAGAUGUGCUUUCCAACCAGGUUUGUAAUAAGCAGCGUGCAGGGUGACAGGAGAACAGCAUGAUAGACUAUCAAUGCCCAUCAGUGGAGAUGUUUCCUCAUCCCUGCUUCACGUCGUUGUAAACAUCAUCAAAGGCGUGAUUGUCUCCCCAUCCCAUCUAUGAUGUAAAUAGAUGGGUUUCGUUGAUGUUCACUGUUACCUAGUGCUGUGUUUCUCGUUUUGUGACGACAUCGAAUCCUCAAGAAAGUGUGGCAAGCAAACCCAUUACAAACAUUACAAGUACAAAAGUGGAUUGUGGCCCGUUUGUGUGGCACUACCAAUCAUAAUUUAACUUACUGUUGCUUUAGGACUGAGGGUGAUACUCGAGAGUCGAGAAAUGAUUUACUUGAAUCAGGAACGGGAGACAUCAAGAAGAAUGUGUCAGAUGUCGAGUACAUUUUGGAAUAGUCCGAUUGUCCGAAGAAAGAAAUCUGUGAUGAGUAUGAGACAGUAAGAAGAUAACUUCGAUACUGUGUACGUUCUUGUCCGAGGAAAUAUUGUUGUGUACACUGACUGACCUACAUCAGCUGGAAAAAGUGUACACUGAUUGACCGAUUUCAGUUUAUAAAGGUGUACACUGAUUGGCCUGCAUCAGUAAAGAAGUAGUGUACACUGAAUUAACAACAGCAGAUGAGAAACCUACUUUUCUAUAUUGUAACCGAGCCGCCCUGUACCCCAUCCUGUUAUAAUAUCAGCGCCGACAGACAGCAUACAAACAUUUCAUAAAUGACAUAAAAUACUUGUUGAAAUCUGAAUGCUCGACCUCGACAGAAAAACAAUAUAAACGAAAAGAUCGACCUGAACAAGAGAGGAAAUCGUGUUGAGUGUACCCUGGUAUAUAACAAUGGUGACAACCCUUCAAUCACUAAGUAUCGAUACAGUGAAAGAGAACCAGAUGUCAACAGAUGAAACAAACUAUUUUCUCUCUUAACAAUCAAACCGAGUCCAACAGAAAAUUAAACUGAUGGGAUUUAUAAAUUCUGAUGUUACUGCAAGCCGGAACCGAUGAGAAAGCUUGGAACACUUGAUAACGAGGCGAGCAUUUUCUGUAUUUUCAGAUUUCGAGAAUUACACUAUUUAAAUUAAUUUGAAAUAAUUGUACAGACUGGUUAGCCUUUAAUAUAAGGUAUCAGCUAAGAUAGCACACGCUCAUCAAUAAUUUAUUUAUUUUUAUUUAUCUUUGAAAGCACACCGCUAGUACAGCAAACUUUGCAGGACACACUUAGCUGUAAUUGCACUCAGGAACUGGAAACUGAAUGAACUUGUUGGGGAUGAAAGUAUCAGAAGUGAAAUCAGAGCCUCCUUUAAAACCGGUUUGUCUCGAGAGAGCAGAAACUAGUCUGGGGCCGGCUGCAUGAAGGUGACAUACUCUGAAUCACUAUUCGCGAUUUACAGUCGCCACUGAAGCAACAGACGGCAUGCAACAGAAAGCUUUAAUAAAAUUUGUUUUUGCUGCUUGGAGCAGAAUGACAAAGGGGAGGGGAAACAAGUCAACUUUCUGGUUAUGGGUGACUCCCUUAAGUCAAAUAAUCCCGCUACAAAGUGUUGUAUUUCAGCACCACUUCGUUAAAAUUGUUUUCUACUUCUGCUUAUUUCAGGUUGUGAUGCCCUAACAAAAGACAUUGUAUGUGAUGUAGUUAUUGUGAUAUGUAUAGUUAUUUCAGAGAUAUUUGACUCUGUAGUACUUGAAGCUGAUGGUCUGCUCCACAGACACUUGUAUCCGUAUCUCUUUUUAAUAUUUCCUUGAAAACACCCCUGUCCCAAAACACCCCUGUCCCUAUAGGGGACACGCGCACAAGAAAUAAUUAUUAGAUCUAUAAUAACCAUAAAAACUGAAUAAAUGAAAAUCAAACACUAAAAAUAUUUAAACGCUAAUAAUAAUACAGAAGCAGCCGUCCAAGAUUAUUUCUUUUCGCAGUUGAUUCGUUCUCUGGUCUUUAAAAGCCAACAGUUUGUAAGCCUAGGUUUUCAUCUGGUUUGGCCAGCACACACCCUCAUGGCAAAUAUACAGGUGAUCCCUGUACCUGUCAUUCGACUGCCGUUGGCUUCAACUAAACCGAUUUGCUGCAUCCCAGGGCAGUCCUGCAUCAGGACUGUGAAGUCUUGUCACCAUACAGGUGGCCAUCCAUCUUGAAGGAAUUUACACUGAUGCUUCAGGCUCUUUGUAUGCGGAAAGAAGUAGGAAUGGUGAUGCAAGCAGGCACAGGUUUCUUGCAGGCUUUCAUGGGAGAUAAUUAACAUUACAAGACCGCUGAGGGGAAAAAUGUCUAGAAAGACCAGAGGUGUGUUCGGCUGUAUUUCAAGACAAUGGUUGUAUCCAGCCAACAUAAGUGGCUCCUUUAGCCUCUUUUCUAAAUUUACAGUUCUUCUUUUGAUAGACAGUCACAAGUUGAGGUGUUUGGGAGUGAGUGGUGGUCACGAUCACAAACCGGUCGCGGGUUGAUUCUUUUUGUGCGUCUCUAUAAAAAUUUAGAAAUUCCCCUAAUUACUUCUAUCCCACUGUGAAGUGGAUUAUUAGUGUACCAGUCAAUGUAACAAUAACAAUGCAAUUUAUUUAAUAUAAAGCACAGCCUGCAUGCAGGUGGGCAAGAUGCUAAUCAGGCCAACUUUAUUUAUAUUAUCGAAGUGCUUUUUGUUGGUCGUGGUCUUGCUAUGUACCGCACCCUCCACUCCCACCCGGCUAGUAACUGAAGCGAAUUUCUUUAGUAACGCACACCACGUCUGCAAGCAUCAGCAUAGACUACACUUUGCCUCCAGGAUCAAUACUCAAUUAUGUCCCUGGCCUGCUAAAGCAUUUGCUUCCCAACAAGAGGAAGCGAGUUCUUUCUGUUUCGCUGGGGAUGCUCUUCAACCACCACCACCACAUCACCGGUCCUUUAGCUGCAUUGUUUAGUCUUUUUUCAACUGCUUUGUUUUGCUAGCAAUGCCAGCACACACACACACAAACACACCAUUUAUACCCUGACUGUCACUGGUCCUCAAGGUUGCCAUUUUGUCACCUUUAAGGAAAGCUCAGUCCAGUUAGGCUGUGUCGGAUGAUGAAAACUACUGAAAUAUAGGCAACAACACAUCUCAACCGAACUUCAAGAAUACGCUGUUGUUGUGGUCAGUGGAAAUAGUUGAUCUGCUUGUCUUUCUUGGUCCUUUAACCCUGUGAUUUUGCUGUAUUUUAAAUGUUUAAAUGCUCGGAGUUUCCGUUGUGAAGCAUGUGAGGGAUAAAUAUAUUUUAAACUAAAAACAUUAUUAUUAUUAUUAUUAUUAUUAUUAUUAUUAUUAUUAUUAUUAUUAUUAAACAGAGAUGGGAAAGGAAAUGGUAAUAUGCAGACAUAAAGAAACGAAAAAACUGAUGAACUAAGUGCCAUCCUGUGGAGAAAGUCCGUUUCCUAUUGGAUCCAAGAGUCAGACCUACACUAUGCUAACUGUGACUGGCCAGGGAAUCGAACACAUCAUUGGCAAACAUGACUACCGCGAGGCUAACAAUCAGCCAAACAAGCCUUUCCAGCUGAUGGUUGGUGCAUACGGCGCCAUAAAGAGGCAAUUACUUGUAGGGAAAAAAGAAAAUGAACAAGAACCAUGUCGCGACAAAUUGCCUCUAAGCCCCGACUGAGCUCUCAAACAGCCACGCCAACGCACUCAGACAAACAGCCCGAUACCGACUGACAAUGGCAACCAGACUGAUAUCUAUACAAUGAUGGAACGAUAAAAGCAGCCCCAAUAUUGCUCUUAAAAGUGGCUGUAGAAAUAAGUAGUUUUCUCUGAUCGCUAAACACUGCCUUCAACAGAACCACCAUUUUGACUAAUGUGCCACGAUUCGUCUCACGGAGCUGGGUUUUCAAUGCUUUGUACAGACCCCUACUUCCGUAUCUUUCCCUUCUCUUAUGCUGCACUAUCCUCCACCCGCCUGUUCACUUUUGAACCUUUAUGUUUCUUUUCCUCUCCAUUCCCUUUUAGUCCUUUCCUUCUACUUUUUCUGCCCCAUCCCACGUGACUGAUCAAGCUGCCCCUGGACGUCAGUCUACAACCGCUGUUACUAUUCUUUGAACUGUAGUUUGAGGUCACUGAACUAUCGUACACUUCACCUUUCUGAUAUCUAUGCCUGUUAUCGCCGAUACUUCACUCUGUGUAGUGGUUUCAGCCUUAUUAGUCACUCAAGGUUGUGUUCCGGUUGCGAUACGAUUCAGUUAGACCUCUGGUCACCAGGUGGAGGAGGUCAAAGGUGUUUACGCCACUUUUCCCCCAGUUUCUAAAAACUGAAUUUCUGGUGACAAUACUUUUGCUGCAAUUUUAUGCACUUCCUUGUAUUUAUUGGUUUUAAUAAACGAUUCUUCUCAGGUUA